ACGAACGCUGGCGGCGUGCUUAACACAUGCAAGUCGAACGCAGAGCGAUGGAAGCUUGCUUCUAUCAAUCUUAGUGGCGAACGGGUGAGUAACGCGUAAUCAACCUGCCCUUCAGAGGGGGACAACAGUUGGAAACGACUGCUAAUACCGCAUACGAUCUAAUCUCGGCAUCGAGGAUAGAUGAAAGGUGGCCUCUACAUGUAAGCUAUCACUGAAGGAGGGGAUUGCGUCUGAUUAGCUAGUUGGAGGGGUAACAGCCCACCAAGGCGAUGAUCAGUAGCCGGUCUGAGAGGAUGAACGGCCACAUUGGGACUGAGACACGGCCCAGACUCCUACGGGAGGCAGCAGUGGGGAAUCUUCCGCAAUGGACGAAAGUCUGACGGAGCAACGCCGCGUGAGUGAUGACGGCCUUCGGGUUGUAAAGCUCUGUUAAUCGGGACGAAAGGCCUUCUUGCGAAUAGUGAGAAGGAUUGACGGUACCGGAAUAGAAAGCCACGGCUAACUACGUG
rnacentral:rRNA from 1 species